CAGAUUAUAGUUUAAUAAAAAUAGUAGUUUUGGAAAUUAUUGAUAUACUUUAAGUAUUAUUCUGA
rnacentral:tRNA from 1 species